rnacentral:rRNA from 1 species
GACGUAGGGCGCAAGCGUUGUCCGGAUUUAUUGGGCGUAAAGAGCUCGUAGGCGGCUUGUUGCGUCGUCCGUGAAAACCCGUGGCUCAACUGCGGGCUUGCGGACGAUACGGGCAGGCUGGAGUUCGGUAGGGGAGACUGGAAUUCCUGGUGUAGCGGUGAAAUGCGCAGAUAUCAGGAGGAACACCGGUGGCGAAGGCGGGUCCCUGGACAACACCUGACACUGAGGCACGAAAGCUAGGGGAGCAAACAGG